GAUGAACGCUGGCGGCGUGCCUAAUACAUGCAAGUCGAGCGAACGGACGAGAAGCUUGCUUUUCUGAUGUUAGCGGCGGACGGGUGAGUAACACGUGGAUAACCUACCUAUAAGACUGGGAUAACUUCGGGAAACCGGAGCUAAUACCGGAUAAUAUUUUGAACCGCAUGGUUCAAAAGUGAAAGACGGUCUUGCUGUCACUUAUAGAUGGAUCCGCGCUGCAUUAGCUAGUUGGUAAGGUAACGGCUUACCAAGGCAACGAUGCAUAGCCGACCUGAGAGGGGGAUCGGCCACACUGGAACUGAGACACGGUCCAGACUCCUACGGGAGGCAGCAGUAGGGAAUCUUCCGCAAUGGGCGAAAGCCUGACGGAGCAACGCCGCGUGAGUGAUGAAGGUCUUCGGAUCGUAAAACGAUGUUAUUAGGGAAGAACAUAUGUGUAAGUAACUGUGCACAUCUUGACGGUACCUAAGCAGAAAGCCACGGCUAACUACGU
rnacentral:rRNA from 1 species